UGAAAAUAAAAAAAAGGUGUUAGAAAACUAAAAAAUCAAAAAGAAGCAAAUUUGUCCAUUUUUGUGUUUUGGCCGAAAUUGUGUUGUUGUUGUUUUGGCUGAGAUUUGUGUCUAUAUCUAGGUGUGUUUUGCUUGUAUUAGUUGUUUCUUGUGUUGGUUUUCUCUCUCUAACACUCCUUAAGUAUUAAUCUAAGUUCUUGAGCUAUGUUUCAAGUUUUGUGGUGGUAAUUGU
rnacentral:lncRNA from 1 species